CCACUAGAAGCAGAGAAGUCCAGAUGCUUCUGAAAGGCUCUGAGCUCCUGAUCCCAUGAGUGGAAGGAUCAUAUAAUUUCUAUCUCUUCAACGUACCUACUCAACUCCCAGCAAGGACUCAGUGAGAUUUCCCUGUGUCCACAUACUUCUUCCUUUUUUUUAUACCAAGACAGAAGGCCAUCUUCGUUCUCCCCAUGUCUGAGCUUUUCAUCCCCUUUGUUCUCACUCCCAAAUUGAUGUUUCCUCUGAACUAGAGGCCAAUUAGUAAACCCUAUAGGUAGUGAAGGAAUAUGUGAGAGGCAUUUGCAGACAGGACAACACUUGUGACAUCACAAGAGAAGCUAUGGCUCUCCAGGAUACAAGAGAUUUUUUCGUGGAGGGUCUAAUGAAGAUCUAACUGACAAUUGCCAUGGCCUACAUCUAAACAGCUUUCCUUAUAUUGACCAGUAUUGAGAGUCCUUUUUCCAGAAAUCUGCAGAUACAUCCUUUUGAGGAAUUAAUCCUUCUCACUGGAGACCAUAGAGGGGACCUGCAUUUCAGUGAUAAUUAAAUGUCACUUCAAGACAUCAAAGCAAAAUAUCAAAGUGAGAAUGGAAUAAAUUUGUUAGGACAGUGUUUUACAAACAACUUCUUUCACAAACAGCCUUGUAAGGAGAGUUAUGAAAUUUUGAAUUUCAUAAUUGCCUUUGCUGGUACUCUGGCAGAAUCAACUCACCAUUGUCUGGUACUUUAUGGGCAAUUAAACACUACAAACAGAGCUGAAUGCAUCAUAUGCUCUGCCAUCUGUGUAAUAUGCCUACAGUGAAGAACAACUAUGCUAAAGCUAUUCAUCUGUUUUUCAAUCAGCAUCCUCAUACAAGUGGGGACUUCUCUGGGAUCUUGGAUGGAUAGGUUGAGAACACUGGCUGAGAUCUGCAAAUGCAUAUGUGGGAUGGUACAUGCUUGGGGAAUGAAAGGCCUGUGUGUAGAUCAUAAACAACUUCACAAUAUUCAUUGCUUUAAUAACUUCUAGGAAGUGGACUUCUGUAAAAUGACUUCAACAGAUCAGCAUGUGUAUAGAAACAGUAACUGAUUCCCUGGAGAUUUAAAAGCACUGGAUUGUGACUUAGAAGUAGAUACAUGUCAGCACAUGAAGGCUGGAUAAUCAAACCUCUGUUGUGUCUUAAGAUUUCCUUCCCAAUGGUUGGAGGCAAACAGCAACAGAUUUUUUUUGCACUGAGGAAUAGAAUAAAAGCCAAUUUAUUGAAAAUCCAUAUCAUAAGACAAUACUGAAAUCAUCUGUGACGAACAUCAACUCUCAGCAUGGCUUCAGCAUGGCUGAUUGUCUGCUGUCAGCAUGGGCUUUUACUGUCACCCCUUUUAUAACUGCAGAGAUCGAAUCUGCUUUAGCCACAUCAUCAUCUCCUCAUUCUGUUGCAGGUAGAUUAGAUCACUGUGUCUGCCUAUUCAGUUUUUCUGUACAUAUAAAGGCCCAAGGAACUAUUUUCAUUUCAGUGAGCUGGUAUAAGUAAUCUUGAAUCACAUUGGUGAUGAUAGUGGCUGUCAUGUCUUCAUAACCCAGAAGACCAUGUUUGCAAAGGAGUUGAUUGAGGAAGUCUUGGCUAUUUCUGUAAUAGGGGCAGUUGGGAUAGAUGAACAGGACCACCUUCCCAGAUUAGAUCUCGCAGUUCACAUACACCUGAGCGAUGCUGACAGGGUGCAGCUUCCCAGAAAAGUAUGUUCAGUUGAAGAUACUGGUCUGUUUGGGAGUGGCAAUCCAAUGUAUUCUUAACCAUGCAUUCUAUUUGAAUUCCCAUAGAAAACAUGGAAGAAAGAAGCUUUUACUUUUUCAUGUUUGCACUCACAAUGCUACCAAACCCUCACAGACAUUAGACCCUGCAUGCUGAAGAUUUAUCCAUAUACCAAUGACCAGAUGAGACAUCUAGCCUUGUGGACUAAUAAACUAAUGGAUUCUAGGACUUUACAAAUAGUCAGCCAUUGUUAAAUUAUGUGGUCCAUAGUCUGUGAUCAUUGUGACCAGUCUGAUUUCUCUGUACAGAGAUUUUCAUCCUUUAGUAUCUGUUGGGGAACACCAACUACUACACCAGGUAUCUAGGGAAGAGCCUUUGUCUCUUCUAGGGAAGGCAGUUUGUCUCUAGUAAGAGUUUCAGGUCAGUUACCAAUUUCCAAUGGUCACAUUACCUUAGUCUGAUUUUCAAAUGAUGCUUUGAUACAGUCCUUCUUAUUUUCUAUAGUUCUUGGCAACAGAAUUAAAAUAGCAACAAUAACCUAUCAAUGAAAUGCACAGUAAUUCAUUUGCAAGAGUGCGUCAGAGAGAAGGAUUAUAGGACAAACAAGAAUUGGAAAACAAGAUGUCCUUCCUUCUGAGGACCAAGAACAGGAAACCCAAACUACAUAAAUAUCUGAGACAAGUUGUCUGAAGUUUGUGCUUUCCUUCAAUCAUGGGGCUCCUAGUGAAGGAGCUCAGAUCUCAAGAGUUGGCAAAAAUUACCUUUAUUGCUGAGCCUGGUCAACUGCUAAAUAUGUCAUUCAUGGACCUGAAGAAACUCUGUAUCCAUCCUGCUAUAAUGUGUGUAUAUCUAUGUAUCAUUCAUAGAAUGGACACUUUACUGUUGGUUUGAAAGCAACAGUUUGUCCCUGGAGAGACUCAGAUUUCUUCUUUCACACAUUAUUUCACAGGAUGAUGGUUGGUUCAUUCCGGGAGUCGCUUUGCAAUAAUCAUUCAGUGAUCUGGAAGAAACACUUUUUAAUAUUGUGAGAUCUACUAGAACAAUAUCAACCAUCAUUUUCUCUUCCCAGUUUAGUACUGAAUCAUACUCCACUAAAGUCUGAGGUCUCUGAUGAAGGCAGCAUCCCCUCAGACUAGUCUGAAUAUUGCUCUUGGCACUGCAUUUAUAAGACAUCAAUGUGAUUUCCUUACCACUUUCUUCCCCAGGAGAGUUUUUCAAUUCUUCAUUUAAUCCGAUGUGUCUAAU